UCCGGCACUCACUCGGUCCAUCCUUGGCUAUGGUGUUUGAUAAAGUUAUUAGCUGAUAGGAAAGGUUGACUCUGGUAGGGUUGAUUCAAUGUAGAAGCUAUGGUGUGAAAUUAGAAAAAGGGGUAAUUUAUUUCUCAUUUUAGUGGUUUUAACCAGAGUGGCCAUAAAUGUUGGGAAGUACUGCAAAAUUUAGCUCUUGAAAGAAACAAAGAGUAAUGUUCUAAUUCUAACCACCGGAAUCGGAGUGCCGAAACUCGGUUAGAUGGUGUCUUUUAUGUGCUUGAUGUAAUGCUAAUGAGAUCCACUUCUGUGAUCUCAAAUGCUUGGUGUAAUCUUGGUCCUAUGUGUUCGCCCAAUCCCGCAUUGAGAAAUUCGAGACUCAAAUUAAUUUUUUUUAU